GGCAUCGUCGUCGUCGGGCAUCGUUGACGGUCAUCGUCAGGCAUCAUCUUUGUCAGUCGUCGUCAUCGGUCGUUGACAUCGGGCAUCUGCGUUGGGCGUCAGCAUUGGAGCGUCGACGGAUGUCGGCGUCGUUGACGACCGGCAUCAUCGGGUGUUGUCAUCGGGCUUCGAUGUCAUCGGGGGGCAUCGUCGGGCGUCAUCGGGCUUCGUCAUCGUCAUUGGGCAGUGUCGAUGGUCGUCGUUGUCGUUGAUGGUCGUCGUCGAAUGUCGUCGUCGUAGUCCUUCGUAGUUGACCGUCGUUGCGGUUGACUUUCGUCAUUGUCAUUGACCAUCAUCCUCGACCUUUUUUGUCAUCGUCAUUGUCGUCGUCAUUGUUGUCGUCGAUCGUCGUUGUCAUCAUCAAAUGUUGUCGUCUUUGAUUGUUGUUGUCGCUGUCGACCGUUAUCGUUGAACGUUGUCGUCAUCUUCAACCGCUGUCGUCGGCAUCAUCAUUGUUGAGCGUUGGCGUCAGCAUCAUUGUUGACCGUCGUCGUGGAUUGUCGUGGUUGACCAUUGUCGGCAUUGAUCGUUGUUGUCAUCGUCGUUGACCGUCUUCCUCGUUGUUGACCUUCAUCGUUAUCAUCGACCAUCUUCCUCAACUGUUCUUGUCAUCGUCGUCGUUGUCGACCAUUGUCAUCGUAGUCAUUGACCGUCGUCAUUGUCAACCGUUGUCAUCAACGUUUUCGUUGUCGUCGUUGUCGUCGUUCAUCAUCGACCGUUGUUGUUGUCGUCAAACAACGUUGUCGUUCAAUAGCAGCAGCGGGCAUCAUCCUCGUUGUCGUCAUCGAGCGUCGUCGUUGUCGUUGAUUCUCAUCGACCGUCAUCAACCAUUGCUGUCAUCCAUCAUUGCUUGUCCUCUACAGUUGUCGCCGUCGACAGUUGUCACCUGUCAUCGUCAUCAUCACCCAUUGUCACCGAUUGUUGCUGUCGUCGACCAUCAUCGUCGUCGUUGUCGUCGUCGACCGUCAUCGGCCGUUGUUGACUGUCGUCAUCGUCCGUCGUCGUCAAAUGUCGUCAUCGUAGUCCAUCGUCAACAACCAUAUUCGUCAUGGACCAUCAUCGUCGUUGCUGACUGUCACCAUCAUCGACUGUUGUCGUAGUCAUUGUCGUCGUCCGCCGUUGAUGUCAGUAUUAAUGUCAGAUGUCAGAUUAAUGCUCAAAAUAGCCUCCAUGGUUAUACACUGAUUCUUAUUUUCGUGGUGCUCAAAGCACCAAGACACUUAGGUAGCUUGCUGUAGUUACAAUAGGCCAAAGAAACAAUGCUGAAACGAUCUUCGUGGGUCAGUCUGAACCUUUGCUGGAUAUAAUGCCUUAAGGCAUGGAUGAUGACCUGGUGCAAGCUGCCAUGUCUGGUGCUGCUGUGGGCAAGCAUGCUUGGACCACCAGCUACUGCUGCUUCUUGAAAAGAGCACUUCAGCCGUGGCACCAGGAAGGUCGCUCCUAGGAAGCUCCAGCCAGGCGUGCUCAAGGAAUAGAUGUGACAGCCACUUGAAUAAAAGCACCAGCUGGAGUUUUCUGGAGUAACCAAGGACAAUUACUCAUAUGUACAGACAGAGGUUUUAAAAAAUGCAGUGCCUGCCGCAACAAGGCCCCCCCAGUUUAGGGAGUGACAGCUACUCUGCAGUGAUGUGGAUGGAUGCACUGGGAGGAAUCCAUAUUUUAUUGCAAUGGAUUGCCUUUCUGAUAGCCAUAAAGAAUACUUCAGACCAGAGGCAAACCGUUCAGUACGAGUGGUAUAAGUGUUAACGUUUGUUUUCAAGGCAGGUAUUCCUGUAGGUGGCAAAUAAACACAAUUCCCAUUCAAAGGAAAUCAGGUUUUAUUAAAAAGCAGAAAAGUCCAGGUUGCUCCCUCUGCUUGCUUACUAAUCUAUUCUCAGUGCAAAAGAACUUAAAGCACUGAAACAUCACAAGAAGUAAACAAAAACUAGCAAGGUGAAAUACUUAAGCGAGAGAGGAAGUUUUUUGUAAUAUAAACGGAAUGUUUGAUGUUAUAAACUCAAAACCAGCAGCUUGUUAACAUAGCAAAUGUAUUGCAUUACAUCAAGUGAUGCUAGCUAUAAAAUAUCUAAUGUUCUGAAUUUCAAAUGUACUAUUUUUAUUGCAUAGCUGUUCCCUGUAAAGACAAAGGUAGCAAUUCCUGAUUUUUUUGUUCUGUUGCUCCCUCAAAAUGCAGUCAGUAUUCUGCAAAAUAAAGCAAAACAGUUGAUGUUCAGAAUAUGCUGCACUUAAAUAACUGCAAGCUGAUAUUUGGAAAAAGGCAUGGGAUGCUAGCUUUUUGAAACUCCUAUUUACUGCAUUUAUUGAGCUUCUAAUGAAGCUGUUUAAUUAGAUGAAUUUAAUAUACACAUAGCUUAGUAUAGGACACAAUUUGUAACAACAAAGUCCCUGCAAACCUUAUCAUGCUGAGCAGUUAAGGCAUGUGAUGAUGGAGGCCUCCAACAGGAAGGUUAGCAGAACAUGAUAAGAGAGAAUUUACUCAAGUAAAAUUUAACAUGUAACUGCUGGGCGAUGUGUUCAGUAUCCCUGCAGUGGUUAUCUGUAUAAAGACCUAUUACAGACUUUUUAUGCAGAUAGAUUGCUUUAUCCUUAAGGAAUAUUGAAAAAUGUCUAGCUGGCAAUCAUGCUACGCUGGAUUUGUGGCCUAAAUCUUCAGCCUGAUGUUAGGAUCAUUCUACAUUAAAGCUACUCAUGCCAUAUUGUGGAGAGCAUAUGUAAUGUCUUAUGGUGUUGAUCAGACUAGGAUUAUUUCCAUGGAAGCUUUACCUUUACUAUCUUGCACAUCAGUAGUAGUUUGACGGAAAUAAAAUGAGGGCAUCUGCAAGAGAAUGCAUGUGUUAGAGAAUACUUACCUUUGUCAAAAGACAUGAAAAUGGUUCAUGUUUAUAGUUUUCUGCCCCAGAGUCAGAAUUUCCCUGGAAUUCCACUUGCAAACUUUUAUUUGUGUGAUAAAAUUUAAUCAUCUGGUAAAUCCUGUUGUCUUCAGUUACUUCAAAUGUGUAUGUUAGGCAGGUACCUCAUGUUUUGUGAGCCUUGAUUGCUCACCCUUAUUCAUGCCAGUGAACGGAAAGACAAGACAAUUAUCUCUCUAAUUUGAUUCAUAGAAACUGUGAGCAAAGUCUUGGGUGUUGCAGCUUCUUUCGCCUGUGAGGAAAUCUUAGAGAGUGUCAAGGAAGGAGUGGCCUCAGCAGCUCAAGAGUUUUCUGACAUAUCCUCAAGGAGCCAGGACGUUGAUGCUGAGGAGUCAGGGCAAACUUCAGAAGUUUCUGUGGAGGAGAAGACACCUGAAGAAGUUGCUACGGAACCCUAAAGCGUGGACCAGAACUGUACCCAGUACUCCAGGCGUGGCCUGACCAGAUAAUGCCUCUUAUCUUCUUGUCAUAAAAGAGGACAGCAAUUCUUCUGUGUGUGGCUGUUGGCCCCAAAUUCACACUGCUGUGAAGCCACCUAUAUCACUAAUCUCAGCAAACACAACUGGUUUACCUCAUGCCUGAAAUUAAGCAAAUAAAUAUUAGUAUAAGGCUUAGCAGAAUGCAUCCAGCUCACAGGGGAAUUAAUUUAUUCCUGAGCAAUACAUCUGAAGAUGAGGGAUUCCUUGAAGUUGGGCUCUGGUGGUGGCAGCAGAGCAAGUUUUCACAAGCCAACAGAUAAGCGUGAUUUACGCAGCAGUAGUGUUUAUAUGCUGUAAUUCACUUACCUGAUAACCUGCAGUCAAGUUUACAGUUUGCUUUGAAGUUUUGCAAAGAAAAAGACCUGACUCAUAAGUCUGUUGCUAAACAUCAUGUAUUGUUGCUUCCUCUAAACCAGAUUCAUUUGUCUUUUUCCCAGUAAGCAGUGCUGAAGUCUUUGAAAAGUUUAAUGGAAAUAUUUGUGGCAAUCAACCAGCUGAUUCCUGUGUGAAACCUCAUACUCUUCCUUAGAGUCAUAAAAGAAAUUAUGCAGUUUGUCAUACCACAGAGUGCUCAUUAGGACUAGUAUUCAUUGCUGCAACAGAUGACCUAUUUAAGUUGGCUAGAGACACUUCUGUCAUUAACAUCUCUGCCUUAGAAAGUAGCAUCCAGUAGUAACCGUCAAAGCACCACCCAGCGUAUAAUAAGUACACGUGCUAAGAGAAGCAUUAGACUGAACUGAAACCAUGUCAGGUGAACUCGUUGUUGGUCUUUGUUCUCUCAUUAUGUACACUGAUUUCUCACUUUUGGUCCAAACUGUGGUGCAUAAUUAUACUAUUGUAACAUUCCAUGCUAAGUAAAAGGUUUUAACUAAGUUAAAACCUUAUAAAAAUUACCUGUUAGUAUUUUUAAAUUGGGUCACAGGGAACCUAACAACUUUGUUUGCUCCCAGGUUUGGAUCUGCAAUUCUAAGCACAGGACAUUUAGCUGUACAAGAUCUGAUUUUCCCCCCUGCAUAAACAUUUCAGAUGCUACCCUUCCUUGCACAAUACUAUCCAGGAAGAAACAUUUUAAGGCUCCUGCUUUGAGAACAAAACCCAUUUUCAAGUAGUAGCAAUAGGUACUUCAUAGCAUGAAAAUAAAAAUAACACCGGUUGAAGUUAUCAUCAUUAAUCAAAAGCAGUGGCUCCUACCUUUGCGGUGCUGGGCCCUCUUUCUACCAAACCUUACCCAUCUUGCUGUAGUCUUCCUGUGUUGUUCUGUUGUAGCCGUGACAUGCAGCAAUGGCAUAACAACACAGAGGUUUGAGAGAACACUCUUGUACCAAUCCCGAGCAAUUUACAGUAUGGUAAAGCCCCUCUCUGAGUGCUCACAGAUGGCCAGGAAAAUUCCUGUGGAAGGUUAUGCCACAGGUGUUCAACUGGACAAAGAAUCUUAGGGACUAAUAAAGAACAGAAUAGCUAAAUAAUCUUGUCUUGUUAGUGUUAUCUUAAUAAUAUUAAAGAUCUAUAAUGAAUAAUGGAUUUGCAUGACACUGUUCUCCUGUCCCUCCGUUGUGCUGUGGGUAUGUGCAUGAGUGUGCCUCUACUACACAUUUUUUUCUGAGCCCCACACCUGCUAAAAAGCAUUACAGCAUCAUAGAAUGGUGGUAAUUCUAAACCAGGGCCAAAUACGGUAUAUUAAACACAAUUUAUACAGAAGGUGUGAAUUAUAAGGUAUAUCUGACUACUUUCUCUUCAAGCAGAACUUUGGAAAGAUGUUGAAAGUGAAAUUACAGCACAAAGCAACACCUGCUCCUUCCCCCAUUGUAAAGGAAAUGAUAGUAGUGUUCCAGCAAAAAUAUAGCCUGUUGCCCCUGUACUUGCUUUGGAAUAACGCAGAGGCAAAAUCAGGCUCCUAAGCUUCAAGAAGCCAUACCACUGCCUUCCGCUUAAAGGAUAAAGCCACUGUGAUUUUUGCAGACAAAGCCACUGGAAUAAGUGUCUUUGAUGUUUUGGUGGAUGAGAAUCUGUAUUUAUUUAUCUGGUAGAUUAAACAUCCUGUGAUGGAUACUCUUAAAUGUUCCAUUUCCUCAUUUUCACUAAUUCCCAGUGAAAGAAAUUAUUUCUAAUUUCUGCAGCUGGCAGUAAGGUUUCCAAAAUUUGCUUUGCUGAAUGUCUGUUUAUCUCUGGAACUGCUCGGGUACAUGGCAAAAUAUAUUAGCCCUUGGGACCAGAUGCCUGAACAACUGAAGCAGAGCCUAUGAUGUGCGUUCCAAAGCUUUCAGUCUUUCUGAUUUCAAAAAAUGUAAGAGUCCCAGGGUAGCCUGUACGUAUGCUUUGUUUCAGAGAGCCUCUUUUUUUUUUUUAAAAAAAGAGACUACUCUUGAAAGCCAAAGGAACUGGGAAUAUAUUAUAAACUCAGGCUGUGAUGACAUGCAGCACAGCAUGGUCUGCUUCAGCACUUGAUUACCCUAGAUUAACAACAGAGACACUUUGCAAUUUGCAGAGGGUUGCUCUUCAAAAUAAGUAACCAAUAACUGCAUGCAGAAUGCCUUGUUGCUGAAUCUGAAAUUCUUUGUCUCACUU